UACAGAGGGUGCGAGCGUUGUCCGGAAUCACUGGGCGUAAAGGGUGGGUAGGCGGCUCGGUAAGCGUAUGGUGAAAGCCCGGGGCUCAACCCCGGGUCUGCCGUGCGAACUGCCGAGCUUGAGCACAGUAGAGGCGGGUGGAAUUCCGGGUGUAGCGGUGGAAUGCGUAGAUAUCCGGAAGAACACCGGUGGCGAAGGCGGCCCGCUGGGCUGUUGCUGACGGCUGAACUACGACAGCGUGGGGAGCAAACAGG
rnacentral:rRNA from 1 species